CUUGCAAAUUCCAGGCCAGCCUCAGCAAGAGAAAUCAUGUCUCAAAAUAAAAAACAGAUAGGACUAGGGAAGUGGCUCAGUGAUUAAGAGCCCCUGGGUUCAAUCCCUGGUACCCUCCCCCAAAAAAAGUUUGAAACAUAGUUAAAUUAGCAACAAUAAACCUUGUAAAUUCCCUCUUGGAAGUUUCUACUUAAUCCUAGGGCAUCCUCAGAGGGAGAGAACAUAAUGUCAAAAGUAAAUUUUGCUAACCUGUUGAUCAUUCUAGAUGCAGAAACAUUGAAUAAGCACAUAUCCAAAGGCUUUAUAUGCCAGAUGCUAUGCCAGGACCCUGCCUCUGAGAGGCCAGUGGGGGAAGAUAGUCUCCAAACUAGUUUCCACAACAUUGUACAAAAGUACAAUGUGCUGUGGGAAACAAGAAGUUUGGAGGAAAUCUGGAAUAGUCAGGGUUUCAUCCAGCUGAUGUUUAUGCUGAGUCUCAAAAUGGGAACUGUCCCCAAAAAAAGGACAACAAGGGGAGAGGAUGCACUGUGGACAAUGAAAACGUGGGCAGAGCAAUGAAUUGUGAAAGGGCUUGGCCUGUUUAUGGGUACAUGGAAAGAGCAGGGAGGCUAAAAAUCAGGAUGUCUCUUUGGAAGUGAGGAAGAUGAGAGGUUGCAAGGUACCUGGCCCACUAAGCCAAGAACUUUGGAGUCUACCUGGUAGGCAGAGGUAGACAACAGGGAGACAAGCAAGUGGGGCUUUUGUAAGGGAAGUGAUAGGCUUGUGGUAGACCAAAAGCAGCUUACAUGGUAUAACAUGUGACAGGGAAAUCCGAAUACUGCAAAUAAAUCACCUUUCCAACUUUGUUUAAACAGACUCACCUUUUUUAUUUAUUAUUAUUAUUUUUGUCUUGAAAAGUCCUGGUUAAAAGGCAAAUCUUCCUGGAAAGUUACUACCUUGGGGAUUACCAGCCCUUACCUUUGUGUUGUUUGUGACAGCCUGCUGAGAGAAAGGCUCUGAUGGAACUUAGGCCCAGGAAGAAGAAAGAGAGAAAGGCCAGAAAGAGGACAUAUGGAAGCACUUUUGUUUUGAAUAUACCAUGUUGUUCUUGCUGCCCAAAAUGAGAUGGUAAGCUCUUAAGGCCAGGAAAGAUGACCUAAAACAUUAAGCCUCCCUUUGCUGUGUCUUACAUUUCACACAAUGCUGAACUGGGAAGGGGUAUAUAUUCCCCAAAGAUAAACUUAAAAUAACCCUUUUUACUCUAAACUUUUUAAAUUUGGAUUCAUCAGGACUUAGUGCUGCGGAAAGGCAUAUGUGUCCAAAAAAUGUGCAUAAGCCCAAGGUACUUUGGAAGGAUAUUCUAACAGGACAAUGGAAAGGUCCUGACCCAGUAAUUGUCUGGAGUCCGGGGUCUGUUUGUGUGUUUCCACAGGGAGAACAGCAGCUGAUUUGGAUUCCAGAGAGAUUAACCAAGGUCCUGACCCAGUGAUUGUCUGGAGUCGGGGGUCUGUUUAUGUGUUUCCACAGGGAGAACAGCAGCCGAUUUGGAUUCCAGAAAGAUUAACUAAAGCGAUUUCUACAGACCAAAAAGAAGAUGAUUUGGCUCAAAUCCAUAACAACUGAUAUCCAAAAUUCCAGUUUGGCUAUUCUUACAUCUGCAACAGAACCAGGAUGCUUUUUUCAAUAUCUAUUUUAUUAUUGCCCUUUGCCAUAUCAUGAAGUUCUAUUUUGUUUUUUGAGCUCAUACAGACCUAGGUUAAUGUUUUGCUGAUCAGUUCUAUUUUUUGACUAUAGAGUUUUUAAACAUUGCAAUGGAGAUUUCACCUGUAAAAAGUUAUAAGGCCUUUACUAUAAUGUUAUGUGUUNUUAAUGUCAUGGCAUUUUGCAUCCUCCUCUACUAGUGAUGGUCUAAAAUUUGGGGGCCAACAGAGGUGAGGCAAAGAACCUCACCCCCCCACUGGUGCAAAGGCCUAUCCACAAGUAUAGCUGUAUGCUGGACCGGUAGUCAGUGACGGGUAUGAUCCAAUUGCAGUGGUACCAACCUAAGACAGGAGGCUGACGCCUAGAAGUCAGUUCAUCCGAUGAUGGGUAAGGACCAUAUGUUGAAUUGGACUGCCUAACAGACACGGUCCCUAAGCCACAUGCUUGUUGUUUAAACAGAGAGGGGGAGAUGUUGAGAGCCACAGCCGAAGGGGCCCCAGCAAACUUCCAGCUGCCAGCAAACUUCCAGCUGCCGGCUGAUGAUUGGCUCACAGCGGCCCCAGCAACAUCUAGCUGAUUGGCUCCUCUGCGGUGAUGCUCAUUGGACUGUUUCCCUGCCCUUUCAGACCACGGAGCUGCUCAUUGGGGGACUUUUUUGGCUCCGCCCACGUGACCCAGCCAAUCGGCCUCAAGAGCAGGAGGAUUGUGGGAGGUGGGGAGAAGCUUGUGUGGGAGAGAGAGGCUUGUGGAAAGCCGGUGGUGGCAGUUGAGGCUCUGAGGGUUUUUCCUGAGAGGCUGUUUUGUUUGGCGUGUGUGGUUCUAAAAAUAAAGUUAGUUUCUUUUGACAAGUGGCUCCUGAUUGUGCCCAGCCAGACUGCGGCACUGAACAACCAUGUAAACGCAGAGUAAAAACUUACUAAAUAUUUUAUUGAAUGAGAAAGAAAUAAUGCUGUGUCUCUACAAAGGAGGAUUAACUGUCUAAUUUUCAGGACCUACUGCACAAGGUUGUUCUAAUUCAUGUAGUUAUAUUCCUUAGAAGGGAAUAUGGAAGUGCUAUUUUUAAAUUUAUGAGUAUUGGUGCAAUUGAAAGGGAAUGGACAAAGAUGAGAGAAAGUUGUGUUUGCCAUACAAAGAUAAGCUUUUAUACUGACCUAAAGGAUAGCUGAGUCUUGUUAAUAUUCAACACAUUCUAGUAAUAAUAGCUCCCAAACUCAAAUGAUUAUCAAAGCCCUUUCAGUCUUCUGAGUUACAUCUUCAUUUGAAAAGCCUGGAUCCUUUCAGCUCUUGAGCUAUAGCUCACUUUGAACAACCCAGUAGUGUAAACUACUAUUAAGUUCUCCAUGAAAUAUCCUUAGGAGAAUUUUGUGGAAAGAAUAACUGUUUCUCUU
rnacentral:lncRNA from 1 species